UUGCAUCGAGGCGGCGGGCUCGCAAUCGUGCGAGGUCGAUCGCUUUCACCUGAACCGGGGCUCGUCCGGCUAGGA
rnacentral:tRNA from 1 species